rnacentral:lncRNA from 1 species
AUGGACUGGAGUGAAUGGUCUUUGGAGUCACCAAAUUCUCCUACUGAUGAUGCUGAAACCAUGACCAGACAUGCCGACGAUGCUGAUUUUACCUGCAUAGGUUGCUAGUACAUUUGCUGCGUUUCCAUAAAAUGCAGAGAAAAUGACCUCAGACCUGAUGCUCAUAAAUCAGCCAAAGCCAUUGCCAUGAGCAGAAAGGCCUUGAGAGAGAGAAGCACAGCACACAGCCACAGGCUAUGAGGGGUGAGUAACAGCUCUUUAGAGGAGCUCAAGGCCACACAAGUUCUCUCAUGGUCUGGAGAAGGGGGUGGGGGAGUCUCCCAGAAGGCUGAGAACCAAAGGCAUACCCUACCUGGAGGCUACGCAGAGGAAUGUGGAAGGGAAUAAACAGGACCACCUCCACACAACCCCUGACCAGACUUAUUAGCAGCAUGAACUGACUACUGAUAGGUCAGCCGUCUUGUAUAGGAACCUUUAAAAAAUGCUGCAGUUGAAUUCUGUGAAAGUCUAAUAUUGAUGUUCAGGACUCUGUAAAUAUAUACCCCAUGAGUGUUAUUACCGUAGAACUAGGUAAUAGUUCUAAUACUUCAUGCUUUUGCAUAGAACUAGCUGCUAAGUUAAAAACAAAGGGUAUGUUUCUAUGUAGGUAGUGUUUGCACACUUUCUUCAGUCUUUUCUACAUCAUUACAGCCGAGGGUCGGAUCCGAGCCAUGUCUGCGACCUACACCACAGCUCACGGCAACGCUGGAUCCUUAACCCACUGAGCAAGGGCAGGGGUCAGACCCGCAAUGGUUUGGUUCCUAGUCGGAUUCGUUAACCACUGCGCCAUGACGGGAACUCCUAUGAUUAGAUUCUUAAUGAUGCCUGCUUGCCCACUCCACUCUCCUCUUUCCUCCUAGGACCUGAAAGAAUAUAGCUUGAUGCUCAGUCUUCAUAUAUUAUAGCUAAUUUGAGAGACACUCGCUCCUAGGCAUGUAAGAUCUGAUGUGUUAGCACUGGUUUGCAAGCGCAAGGGCCUAUCCUGUUUGCAUUAUACAUAUCAUCCUGUUUUGUCUUCAUAGUACCCCUGCAAAAGAGGUGUGUUAGUCCUGUUUGUAGAUUUUAAAUCAGAGGUUCAGAGAGCUUCAGUUAACCUCCUAAGGCUGCAAGGAUAGUCAUUUAUCUAGGAUUCAAACUCAGCUUUUUCUUACCCCCAAACCAUUGUUCUUCUACCCUGCCGCAUUGCCUCUCCUGUAACUUUUGUCUGUUUCAGACAUUAUUUUAUCCCCUGACAAGUAAUUUUCUCUCUGCUAGGUACUAUGACCAAUUUUUGUUUUGUUAGAUCACCAAAUACGUAACUGAAGACUAUGUGUGAUUUUUAUUUUUGUCUGUAUGUUGUUUUUUAAAGCAAAUAAGCAGGAACAAAAACUAGGUAGCCAAGAAGUUAAAUCACAAGCCAGCCUGCUCACCAGGAAGAAAAAAAAAAAAAAAA